GAUGAACGCUAGCGGCAGGCCUAAUACAUGCAAGUCGAACGGUGUCUUCGGACAUAGUGGCGCACGGGUGCGUAACACGUAUGCAACCUACCUUACAUUGGGGGAUAGCCUUUCGAAAGGGAGAUUAAUACCGCAUAAGACAGUAGUCUGGCAUCAGACAGCUGUUAAAGAUUUAUCGAUGUAAGCUGGGCAUGGGUCCAAUUAGUUAGUUGGCGAGGUAACGGCUCACCAAGACUAUGAUUGGUAGGGGAACUGAGAGGUCAAUCCCCCACACUGGCACUGAGAUACGGGCCAGACUCCUACGGGAGGCAGCAGUAGGGAAUAUUGGGCAAUGGACGCAAGUCUGACCCAGCCAUGCCGCGUGCAGGAAGAAGGCGUUAUGCGUUGUAAACUGCUUUUAUACAGGAAGAAACGACUCUUGCGAGAGGCAUUGACGGUACUGUAUGAAUAAGCACCGGCUAACUCCGUGCCAGCCGCCGCGGUAAUAC
rnacentral:rRNA from 1 species